CGAUGUUUCAAUUUGUUAGAUGUGACUUGAAAUUGAUAAUCGACUCAAGUUCGGAUUUUCGACUCGCCGACAGUUUCGUGAUACGACUAAAUUGAAAAAUAAAAUUGUGAAGGAAAAAUAAAUGUCUGUGGUGGGUAGCGGAGGGCUCGGGCCGAUAGGCGGUACGGAUCGGAUCCAAAAUCCGUUAAGAGUUUUCUUUUUCGUUUUUGCCCUAGAGGCGUGAAAUUGUGAUUGGUUGUACUAUCUGAACAUUGUAUUCCUUUUUUCGUUUUGAUAGUGAAGUUCUCUCAUCCUUCACCCGUGGUUUUUUCCUACAAAAGGGUUUUUCACGUAAAUCUGUGUGUUUUCUUUUGUUUCUGCUGGUGGUUUGUUUAUUUUGUGUUCGCCUUUUCGUUUCCGUUUGUGCGUUUGUCAUAACAUAAUUAACUAAUCUUGAUAAUAAAUACUAAGGAGAUAUUAAGUUGGUAAUUGU
rnacentral:lncRNA from 1 species